rnacentral:rRNA from 1 species
UACGAAGGGGGCUAGCGUUGCUCGGAAUCACUGGGCGUAAAGCGCACGUAGGCGGCUUCUUAAGUCAGGGGUGAAAUCCUGGAGCUCAACUCCAGAACUGCCUUUGAUACUGAGGAGCUUGAGUCCGGGAGAGGUGAGUGGAACUGCGAGUGUAGAGGUGAAAUUCGUAGAUAUUCGCAAGAACACCAGUGGCGAAGGCGGCUCACUGGGCCGGUACUGACGCUGAGGUGCGAAAGCGGGGGGAGCAAACAGG